rnacentral:rRNA from 1 species
UCAAGUGACUAAGUGUAUGUGGUGGAUGCCUUGGCGAUCACAGGCGAAGAAGGACGUAGUAGCUUGCGAUAAGCUGCGGGGAGCCGGCAAACGGGCAUUGAUCCGCAGAUUUCCGAAUGGGGGAACCCACCGACGCAAGUCGGUAUCACACACUGAAUACAUAGGUGUGUGAGGCGAACGGAGCGAACUGAAACAUCUAAGUAGCUCCAGGAAAAGAAAUCAACCGAGAUUGCGAAAGUAGCGGCGAGCGAAAUCGCAGCAGCCCAGUGUUCUGAUAGCACGAACGACAGCAGAAGGGUCUGGAAAGGCCUGCUAUAGAGGGUGAUAGCCCCGUAUGCGAAAUCGGACGUGUGGUACUAAGGAACCGAUAAGUAGGGCGGGACACGUGAUAUCCUGUCUGAAGAUGGGGGGACCAUCCUCCAAGGCUAAAUACUCGUGAUCGACCGAUAGUGAACCAGUACUGUGAAGGAAAGGCGAAAAGAACCCCGGGAGGGGAGUGAAAUAGAACCUGAAACCGCAUACAUACAAACAGUAGGAGCCCGUGUAGUCGGGUGACUGCGUACCUUUUGCAUAAUGGGUCAGCGACUUACGUUUUGUGGCGAGCUUAACCGAGUAGGGGAGGCGUAGCGAAAGCGAGUUCGAAUAGAGCGAGAAGUCUCAAGGCGUAGACCCGAAACCAGAUGAGCUAUCCAUGGCCAGGUUGAAGGUGUGGUAACACACACUGGAGGACCGAACCGACUAGUGUUGCAAAAUUAGCGGAUGAGCUGUGGAUAGGGGUGAAAGGCUUAACAAAUCUGGAGAUAGCUGGUUCUCCCCGAAAACUAUUGAGGUAGUGCCUCGUGUAUUGCUCCAGGGGGUAGAGCACUGUUAUGGCUAGGGGGACAUGGCGUCUUACCAAACCAUGGCAAACUCCGAAUACUUGGAAGUAAGAGCACGGGAGACAGAGCACCGGGUGCUAACGUCCGGACUCAAGAGGGAAACAACCCAGACCGCCGUUUAAGGUCCCAAAUAUUGACUAAGUGGAAAACGAAGUGUGAAGGCUAAGACAGUCAGGAAGUUGGCUUAGAAGCAGCCAUCCUUCAAAGAAAGCGUAAUAGCUCACUGAUCGAGUCCUCAUGCGCGGAAGAUGUAACGGGGCUAAGUCAAUAACCGAAAGCGCGGAUUUGUACGAAAGUACAAGUGGUAGGGGAGCGUUCUGUAAGCCUGCGAAGGUGGUUCGAGAGGACUGCUGGAGGUAUCAGAAGUGCGAAUGCUGACAUGAGUAACGUUAAAGCGGGUGAAAAGCCCGCUCGCCGUAAGCCCAAGGUUUCCUGCUCUACGUUCAUCGGAGCAGGGUGAGUCGGCCCCUAAGGCCAGGCUGAGAAGCGUAGUCGAUGGGAAGCAGAUUAAUAUUUCUGCACCAUGUGCAAGUGCGAUGGGGGGACGGAGUGCGAAAGAUCAUCCGGGUGUUGGAUGUCCCGGUUUGUGAGUGUAGAAGGCCGACAGGCAAAUCCGUCGGCAGAUCUUCGAGACAAAGCAUCGAGGUUCUACGGAACCGAAGUGAUCGGAAGUGCUUCCAGGAAAAGCCUCUAAGCUCCAGCUUGCAUGUGACCGUACCGUAAACCGACACUGGUGGGCGAGUUGAAUAUACUCAGGCGCUUGAGAGAACUCGGGAGAAGGAACUCGGCAAAUUGACACCGUAACUUCGGGAUAAGGUGUGCCUUUGUAGCGUGAAGAGAGAAACACUCGGAGCGUGAAGAGGCCUCAGAGAAUCGGUGGCUGCAACUGUUUAUUAAAAACACAGCACUCUGCAAAGACGAAAGUCGACGUAUAGGGUGUGAUGCCUGCCCGGUGCUGGAAGAUUAAGUGAUGGGGUGAGAGCUCCUGAUCGAAGUCCCAGUAAACGGCGGCCGUAACUAUAACGGUCCUAAGGUAGCGAAAUUCCUUGUC